rnacentral:rRNA from 1 species
UGCCAGACUCCUACGGGAGGCAGCAGUGAGGAAUAUUGGUCAAUGGCCGAGAGGCUGAACCAGCCAAGUCGCGUGAGGGAAGAAUGUCCUAAGGAUUGUAAACCUCUUUUGUCGGGGAGCAAAAAGGCUCUGCGGAGUCGUAUUGAGAGUACUCGAAGAAAAAGCAUCGGCUAACUCCGUGCCAGCAGCCGCGGUAAUACGGAGGAUGCGAGCGUUAUCCGGAUUUAUUGGGUUUAAAGGGUGCGUAGGCGGAAUAUCAAGUCAGCGGUAAAAAUUCGGGGCUCAACCCCGUCGUGCCGUUGAAACUGAUGUUCUUGAGUGGGCGAGAAGUAUGCGGAAUGCGUGGUGUAGCGGUGAAAUGCAUAGAUAUCACGCAGAACUCCGAUUGCGAAGGCAGCAUGCCGGCUCCACACUGACGCUGAGGCACGAAAGCGUGGGUAUCGAACAGGAUUAGAUACCCUCGUA